rnacentral:rRNA from 1 species
GACGAACGCUGGCGGCGUGCUUAACACAUGCAAGUCGAGCGGUAAGGCCCUUUCGGGGGGUACACGAGCGGCGAACGGGUGAGUAACACGUGGGUGACCUGCCCUCAGCUCUGGGAUAAGCCUGGGAAACCGGGUCUAAUACUGGAUAUGACUCCAUGACGCAUGUUGUGGGGUGGAAAGCCUUGUGCGGCUGAGGAUGGGCCCGCGGCCUAUCAGCUUGUUGGUGGGGUGAUGGCCUACCAAGGCGACGACGGGUAGCCGGCCUGAGAGGGCGACCGGCCACACUGGGACUGAGACACGGCCCAGACUCCUACGGGAGGCAGCAGUGGGGAAUCUUGCGC